CACUAUCGUUAACUGAAUACAUAGGUUAACGAGGCGAACCGGGGGAACUGAAACAUCUAAGUACCCCGAGGAAAAGAAAUCAACCGAGAUUCCCCCAGUAGCGGCGAGCGAACGGGGAGCAGCCCAGAGUCUGAAUCAGCUUGUGUGUUAGUGGAACGGUCUGGAAAGUCCGACGGUACAGGGUGAUAGUCCCGUACACCAAAAUGCACAGGCUGUGAACUCGAAGAGUAGGGCGGGACACGUGGUAUCCUGUCUGAAUAUGGGGGGACCAUCCUCCAAGGCUAAAUACUCCUGACUGACCGAUAGUGAACCAGUACCGUGAGGGAAAGGCGAAAAGAACCCCGGCGAGGGGAGUGAAAAAGAACCUGAAACCGUGUACGUACAAGCAGUGGGAGCACCUUCGGGUGUGACUGCGUACCUUUUGUAUAAUGGGUCAGCGACUUAUAUUCUGUAGCAAGGUUAACCGUAUAGGGGAGCCGCAGGGAAACCGAGUCUUAACUGGGCGUUAAGUUGCAGGGUAUAGACCCGAAACCCGGUGAUCUAGCCAUGGGCAGGUUGAAGGUUGGGUAACACUAACUGGAGGACCGAACCGACUAAUGUUGAAAAAUUAGCGGAUGACUUGUGGCUGGGGGUGAAAGGCCAAUCAAACCGGGAGAUAGCUGGUUCUCCCCGAAAGCUAUUUAGGUAGCGCCUCGUGAACUCAUCUUCGGGGGUAGAGCACUGUUUCGGCUAGGGGGUCAUCCCGACUUACCAACCCGAUGCAAACUACGAAUACCGAAGAAUGUUAUCACGGGAGACACACGGCGGGUGCUAACGUCCGUCGUGAAGAGGGAAACAACCCAGACCGCCAGCUAAGGUCCCAAAGUCAUGGUUAAGUGGGAAACGAUGUGGGAAGGCACAGACAGCCAGGAUGUUGGCUUAGAAGCAGCCAUCAUUUAAAGAAAGCGUAAUAGCUCACUGGUCGAGUCGGCCUGCGCGGAAGAUGUAACGGGGCUAAACCAUGCACCGAAGCUGCGGCAGCGACACUAUGUGUUGUUGGGUAGGGGAGCGUUCUGUAAGCCUGCGAAGGUGUGCUGUGAGGCAUGCUGGAGGUAUCAGAAGUGCGAAUGCUGACAUAAGUAACGAUAAAGCGGGUGAAAAGCCCGCUCGCCGGAAGACCAAGGGUUCCUGUCCAACGUUAAUCGGGGCAGGGUGAGUCGACCCCUAAGGCGAGGCCGAAAGGCGUAGUCGAUGGGAAACAGGUUAAUAUUCCUGUACUUGGUGUUACUGCGAAGGGGGGACGGAGAAGGCUAUGUUAGCCGGGCGACGGUUGUCCCGGUUUAAGCAUGUAGGCUGAUUGUCCAGGCAAAUCCGGAUAAUCAAGGCUGAGGUGUGAUGACGAGGCACUACGGUGCUGAAGUAACAAAUGCCCUGCUUCCAGGAAAAGCCUCUAAGCAUCAGGUAACAUUAAAUCGUACCCCAAACCGACACAGGUGGUCAGGUAGAGAAUACCAAGGCGCUUGAGAGAACUCGGGUGAAGGAACUAGGCAAAAUGGUGCCGUAACUUCGGGAGAAGGCACGCUGGUGUGUAGGUGAAGUCCCUGCGGAUGGAGCUGAGACCAGUCGAAGAUACCAGCUGGCUGCAACUGUUUAUUAAAAACACAGCACUGUGCAAACACGAAAGUGGACGUAUACGGUGUGACGCCUGCCCGGUGCCGGAAGGUUAAUUGAUGGGGUUAUCCGUAAGGAGAAGCUCUUGAUCGAAGCCCCGGUAAACGGCGGCCGUAACUAUAACGGUCCUAAGGUAGCGAAAUUCCUUGUCGGGUAAGUUCCGACCUGCACGAAUGGCGUAAUGAUGGCCAGGCUGUCUCCACCCGAGACUCAGUGAAAUUGAACUCGCUGUGAAGAUGCAGUGUACCCGCGGCAAGACGGAAAGACCCCGUGAACCUUUACUAUAGCUUGACACUGAACAUUGAGCCUUGAUGUGUAGGAUAGGUGGGAGGCUUUGAAGCGUGGACGCCAGUCUGCGUGGAGCCAACCUUGAAAUACCACCCUUUAAUGUUUGAUGUUCUAACGUUGGCCCCUUACCGGGGUUGCGGACAGUGUCUGGUGGGUAGUUUGACUGGGGCGGUCUCCUCCCAAAGCGUAACGGAGGAGCACGAAGGUUAGCUAAUCCUGGUCGGACAUCAGGAGGUUAGUGCAAUGGCAUAAGCUAGCUUGACUGCGAGCGUGACGGCGCGAGCAGGUGCGAAAGCAGGUCAUAGUGAUCCGGUGGUUCUGAAUGGAAGGGCCAUCGCUCAACGGAUAAAAGGUACUCCGGGGAUAACAGGCUGAUACCGCCCAAGAGUUCAUAUCGACGGCGGUGUUUGGCACCUCGAUGUCGGCUCAUCACAUCCUGGGGCUGAAGUAGGUCCCAAGGGUAUGGCUGUUCGCCAUUUAAAGUGGUACGCGAGCUGGGUUUAGAACGUCGUGAGACAGUUCGGUCCCUAUCUGCCGUGGGCGCUGGAGAAUUGAGGGGGGCUGCUCCUAGUACGAGAGGACCGGAGUGGACGCAUCACUGGUGUUCGGGUUGUCAUGCCAAUGGCACUGCCCGGUAGCUAAAUGCGGAAGAGAUAAGUGCUGAAAGCAUCUAAGCACGAAACUUGCCCCGAGAUGAGUUCUCCCUGAGACUUUAAGUCUCCUGAAGGAACGUUGAAGACGACGACGUUGAUAGGCCGGGUGUGUAAGCGCAGCGAUGCGUUGAGCUAACCGGUACUAAUGAACCGUGAGGCUUAACCUUACAACGCCGAAG
rnacentral:rRNA from 1 species